rnacentral:rRNA from 1 species
GAUGAACGCUGGCGGCGUGCCUAAUACAUGCAAGUCGAGCGAACAGACGAGGAGCUUGCUCCUCUGACGUUAGCGGCGGACGGGUGAGUAACACGUGGAUAACCUACCUAUAAGACUGGGAUAACUUCGGGAAACCGGAGCUAAUACCGGAUAAUAUAUUGAACCGCAUGGUUCAAUAGUGAAAGACGGUUUUGCUGUCACUUAUAGAUGGAUCCGCGCCGCAUUAGCUAGUUGGUAAGGUAACGGCUUACCAAGGCAACGAUGCGUAGCCGACCUGAGAGUGUGAUCGGCCACACUGAAACUGAGACACGGUCCAGACUCCUACGGGAGGCAGCAGUAGAAAAUCUUCCGCAAUGGGCGAAAGCCUGACGGAGCAACGCCGCGUGAGUGAUGAAGGUCGUCGGAUCGUAAAACUCUGUUAUUAGGGAAGAACAAAUGUGUAAGUAACUAUGCACGUCUUGACGGUACCUAAUCAGAAAGCCGCGGCUAACUACG